GACGAACGCUGGCGGCGUGCUUAACACAUGCAAGUCGAACGGUGAAGCUCCAGCUUGCUGGAGUGGAUCAGUGGCGAACGGGUGAGUAACACGUGAGCAACCUGCACCAAACUCUGGAAUAAGCGCUGGAAACGGCGUCUAAUACUGGAUACGAGAUCAAGCCGCAUGGGUAUGGUCUGGAAAGUUUUUCGGUUUGGGAUGGGCUCGCGGCCUAUCAGCUUGUUGGUGAGGUAAUGGCUUACCAAGGCGACGACGGGUAGCCGGCCUGAGAGGGCGACCGGCCACACUGGGACUGAGACACGGCCCAGACUCCUACGGGAGGCAGCAGUGGGGAAUAUUGCACAAUGGGCGAAAGCCUGAUGCAGCGACGCCGCGUGAGGGAUGACGGCCUUCGGGUUGUAAACCUCUUUCAGCAGGGAAGAAGCGAAAGUGACGGUACCUGCAGAAGAAGCACCGGCUAACUACGUGCCAGCAGCCGCAGUAA
rnacentral:rRNA from 1 species